UGUAGUUUUCAUGUUCUUGGAGCGCUCAAGGCUAAAUGAUUGUAUAUUCCUGUUUACCUUCCUGUCCCCUGGUAAGGUAGAGACGGAAGGGUACCGUUCGUUUAGGAAACGGUAAAGGAUAUAAGCAAAGAAAGCCUGUUGCCAAAAGAAGGGCUAGCGCGCGCUAAAAGUAUAAGUACUGUUCACCUUCCUGUCCCCUGGUAAGGUAGAGACGGAAGGGUAUCGUUCGUUUAGGGAACGCUAAAGGUUAUACGCGAGAGCGCUGUUCACCUUAAAAGGAAGGUGUCAUCUGAAGUUGAAAACUCUCUAGGCCUAUUUCUCCGGAUAUUUCUGUAUAUUUUCCUGUUCGCCUUGUAUGAAGGGAACAAACUUUUCAAUUUAUGUUUUCCUAUGGGCCCCCCUGGUAGGCCUCUGGGUGCUUUGUUAAAAAGGGCUUUACAAGAGGGUUAUAGUCCGUUACGAAUUGAUAUAUUCCUGAGGGAGACGAGUCUCCUUAAAAGAUAAAAAGAGAGAGUCAGAGAUACUCCUGUGUGUUAUUUUUCUGUGGGGUUGAGACAAACUUUUUACAAUGAGUAAAACACAGAUAAUGUAGUCAUAAUUUAUGUAAUUAAAGAUUUCGCAUUACUGAGAUGCCUUGACCCGGAACCAGUAGGGGACUGAUGAAAUUCCCUGGCCUCAACCUCCUCACCAAACGAGUGAGACGGGGGCCCUCUGGUCGGGCUCGGGUUGACUCAGCAUUGCGAUCUCAAGAACAAAUAAUGGGAAGGUAAAAUGGAAAGUAAAAAUGAGAAGGUAAAAUAGAAAGUAAUAAUGAGAAGGUAAAAUGGAAAGUAAAAAUAAGAAGGUCAGUGGGAAGUGCAGAAGAAAAAGAAAGUGAGGAAAGUGAGGAAAGUGAAGUGUUAAAAUAGAAAGUAAGAAGAAAGAGACAUCUAAAAGCAAGUCUAAAAGAGUCUGAAAGUAGAAACAUAACUAACCCUAGUGUGAAGAAUAAGAUAAAGGUAAUUUAAAAGGUUUCAAGAUCAGUUAGAGGUAUUAAGAGAAAUACAUAAAAUAACUUAAAAAAUGGGAAAAAGUGUGUCAAAAUCAGAAGACGUACAUGAUAAUGGCAAUAAGAGGUGGCUUAAAAUGUCAAGAAGAAGAAAAUUGUAACACUGAUUUGAAAAUGUUUUUACAUUUUUAUAUUGGUUGCGCCAAACAGAGCAAAGCUUACGUUAAUGGUGGCAAGAAAGCCAAUGAUUUUUUGUUUUGUUUUGUUUUGUUUUGUGUGACUCUGAUUACUCUAAUUAGAUGCCCAGAACAGUAAGGUUGCAAAAAGAAAGAGACAUCUAAAAGCAGACUCUGAAAACAGGAGAGAUGUUUAAAAAAUACAGAUUAUGUUUCAAAAACAUGCCCUACAAAUUUAUUAGGAAGAGAUGUGAUGUGGGUUGGGCAUUAGAAUUGUUCCAACAAUACAUGGGUUUUAGAAUAAAUUAAACAAUGGUGUGUCAAAGAAAUGGUGUCUCAAAAUAUUAGUAUGUAUAGAAUAUACACUGUUUAGCCCCAAAAACAAAAAAGAUUUAAAGAGAAAUUGAAGCCUGUCACACUAACUACAUUAACCUAGACUGAUGCAUUGGACUAACACAGGCUGGGUGGGAGUUGAGUGCUGGCUCAAAAGAAUAUGCUGUUCCUCCAGAUAAGAAGACUUGUAAACAACACACCCUGGUGUUGUUAAGAUUUUUAGCAGAAACAAGGCCACAAAAUUUGCAACUGUGGUCCAGUAAAGUAAAGCUAUCUUAAAAAAGCACCUCAGCCACAGACAAAUAAAUAAAUUAUGUCUUAGCACAUUCAUGACAUGACAAAGCCAUUCGUACAAACUAUAGACUGUAAAAAAAAGAAAAAAAAGGUUAUAUGACAUCUGUGUUAAUGCAUAAGUGGGGACUUAAAGUUGAUACCAGUGCCAUACUAUUCCACACGGCUAGAUCCAGUAGCCCAAGCAAUGUCUGAAUGUUUACAAGCAGUAGUGGCUGCAGCCUUGGCGGUGCAGGCCUCUGCUCCUAUUGUACUAAACAGACACUUAGACUGAAAGUUCCACAUGCUUAUUUAUUUAAU
ensembl:lncRNA